ensembl:lncRNA
UGACCUUUUGCCGUCUCAUCAGCAUUUGCGUUCCAUCAGAUGAUUGACACAAGUUUCAUUUCCUUCUAAAAGAUCUCCAGUCACAUGAGAGCCUUGGUACCAGAUGUAGACAGGGAGGCUCAAAUUAGAUCUCAGAGCCAGGGUUGACAGCCAUCAUCGUGCAUGAGGAUUAUUUUAGGAGGAGACACAAGCCAAAUAUUUAUCAGCUAAUAAUGGCUGGGGCCGGUCAGUCUCCUCCCAGCCUCAGGAGGAGAGAAAUCUGUGCUGUCACUUUCAAAAUGCAACACUGAUGGCUGCACCUCUGGGCUCUGACUCCAUGGCAGACGAAAGCCAGAGCCUCCCAGCUAGUGACCAAGCAGCCGCCACAGAGGAGAAGUGCUGGCAACCUGAGGCCCUGAUGAACAGGGUCUGUGGGACUGUGCAAGAAUCAGAGGCAAAAUACCUAGCAUCCCACAUUCAUGGGGGAGAAGAGUGGGAGAGGGGAGCACAGAAAGAGAAAUGAUCUAGGAAAAAUUAGCUCAGCAAGGAUGGAAUACGGACGACUGCAGUGUCUCACAACAUCACUCACAGAUGGACUGGACAUAGAACAUUCUUUGCAGGCUGGGGCACUGACCCCGACGCUAAACCUCAAACAUGCCCACAGCCACCUAAAGUUCUCACUUGCUGUUCAGCCUGCGGACACAUUCUUCCACAGACAUAUGAGGGGUUUGCUCCCUCCCUUCCUUUAGAGUCAGUCUCUCCACUCUGCAGGAAGGGCCUUGGCGGGCACAGAGAGAGCUGCGAGGGCCAGGCAGCACCGUUGCAAAACCAAGAGGAUCAAAAGAUUCAGCGAAACCUACAGGACAACUUUGCGGGGGGGACAAAUAGACCACACUGCAGUGCCCGUGUCAGACUGAUGAAGUCCACCUUCGUCAGUUGUUCAUUGUCUGGCCUUAACAAGCUGUCCGACUCUUCUGAGCCUUAAUUUGCUAAGUUGCAAACUGGGGCGUAAUUUUGCCUACCUCAAAAGUGUAUUGUGAUGCUUAAGUGAUAGCAUCAGGCAUCGGUUCUAGAACUCAGAUGGUGCUGGGGACAUGAUAACGUCCUUUCUUACUUCUUAUGACCAAUAGAAGCGAGGAGAUGGAAACCGACAGAAGCUUGGAUUCUUAUUUUCCAACUUGUUCAUUGCAUCCAAUUCUUAUCCUGUAGUCCGGUGGCUGGCUCAUAAUAUGGGUUCUGUCUAUGUCUAUGGAACCAAAUUGGUAGAAAGAGUGUCUUAUCUGUAUAGCCAUCUCCUGCCAUCAUCCCAACAAUCAAAAAGUACCAAGGGGGAGAAAACUUCAGUUGGCCUCUACUUUACAGCCUGCAACAAAAAUGAAUCAGGCUGGGCAGGGUGGCUCAUCCUGUAAUCUCAGCACUUGGGGAGGCUGAGGCAGGUGGAUCACCUGAGGUCAGGAAUUCGAGACCAGCCUGGCCAAGAUGGCAAAACCCAGUGUCUACUAAAAACACAAAACUUAGCUGGGUAUAGUGGUGGGUGCCUGUAAUCCCAGCUACUCAGAAGGCUGAGGCAGGAAAACCACUUGAACUCAGGAGGCAGAGGUUGUGGUGAGCCGAAAUCAUGCCACUGCACUCCGGCCUAGGUGACAAGAGGGAAACACCAUCUCAAAAAAAUAAAAGAGAAGAAAAAGAAGAAUCAACAGGCCUACUAAGGCCGCCAGUCUAUCCCAUUUAUAGCAUGGCAUAGUAGAAAGAGCAGUAAGCUGGGAUCAAGGCCAAGGUUCUCUGUAGCUAUGACCCUCGGACACAUAAAGCCUCAGUGUUCUCAUCUGUGAAAAAGGAGUAAUGGUCUCUGCCUCCCUUGAGAGUUGUGUAUGGAAGCAGGGCCAGGUAGAAGACAGGAAAAGCAGCAGGUGGGUGAGGCACUAAAACAACUGAUGAGACUGGGUUUGUUCUCAGGGUCCCACAAGGGGCUUCUGUGUGCUGUCCUCCACUCGCUGGCUCCAACUCCUGCAGACCCUUGGGCAGCUGUUUUCCCAAACCCUGAAGCUUUGGCAAAGGGCUCUGAAGCCUGCCAGGAGAGAAGCAGGGAGCCGGCAGCAGGAGAGCUGCACCUUUCUAAUGAGCCGCUAAACAGAGU